rnacentral:rRNA from 1 species
GCGGUGGAGCAUGUGGUUUAAUUCGAAGCAACGCGAAGAACCUUACCAGGCCUUGACAUCCAAUGAACCUUUCUAGAGAUAGAUUGGUGCCUUCGGGAACAUUGAGACAGGUGCUGCAUGGCUGUUGUCAGCUCGUGUCGUGAGAUGUUGGGUUAAGUCCCGUAACGAGCGCAACCCUUGUCCUUAGUUACCAGCACGUAAUGGUGGGCACUCUAAGGAGACUGCCGGUGACAAACCGGAGGAAGGUGGGGAUGACGUCAAGUCAUCAUGGCCCUUACGGCCUGGGCUACACACGUGCUACAAUGGUCGGUACAGAGGGUUGCCAAGCCGCGAGGUGGAGCUAAUCCCAGAAAACCGAUCGUAGUCCGGAUCGCAGUCUGCAACGNNNGCGUGAAGUCGGAAUCGCUAGUAAUCGCGAAUCAGAAUGUCGCGGUGAAUACGUUCCCGGGCCUUGUACACACCGCCCGUCACACCAU